GCGUAUUAGGGGUGCAACGAACCAUCACUUGUAAAUGGUCACUUAAGUUAUGGCAAGCUAAUAGUGAAACCGACCCAAAAGGUC
rnacentral:ncRNA from 2 species